AGGCCAUGUGAAUGCUGGGCUGUAGAGAUAUUGGAUUUGACAUUGCUUUCAAAUGUUUGCUUCACAAUGAGUGCUCUUAGACCGUUCUAGGCUACUUGACAUGUUCACACGAAUAUACAAAAUAACUUCGACCAACCAAUUUAGCAUUAUAAGAACUUCAGAGAUGUGUUUGGUAUUUGAUUACCUAAUGUGUUCAUAUAACUCAAGAAGCCUGAUGUGGUUGGCAAAGCUAGCUUUUGUAGUGGUUUUGUUUGCCCAUCUUUUGGAAGGUCAGAGAUAGCUUUUUGUGUUAAUUGAUUUACUGAUUCGGUUUCAUGUUCGGUGAGUGGGGUGGUCGAUCCGCUACUGAUCCCGACGUGCACAACCAGUCACCCGUUUAUCUCUGGGCCCCUGCAGAGAACGGCGUCACCGGGGAGGACGGGAGCGUCAACCCGGCAAUCUGACCCAUGGGUGGCCGCGCCCAUGGGUACCCGACCCUAAUGGGUAGGGUAUGGGUCAUCAUGUUAAUCCAUGGGUGAGCCCGAUGGGUAACCCGAUUAGUCAUGGGUAGGGUAUGGGCACAAGGUUCUACCCAUGGGUAGCCCGAUGGGUCACUCGAUUAAUACUAGUGAUUAAAAUAUGUUUUUUAGUUUAUAUGAAGUGUAAAAGUUUUUCUGGAGAUACGCUAGUUAACGCUGGCAGUAGCAUUUUUCUAGUGAACGCUACCAGUACCGAUGGGAGUAUGCACACGUAUGUUUGCUCUGCCAUUUUUUUGUUGAUCAAUCCAGAAUGAUAAGGCCCAUUGCUGAGUCAACUAAGAAAUGGUAGAGUAUUUCGGCCUAUUGAGCCUCCAAUGGUUGCAAGUCAUGCACGGGUAAUGUGCUGUGCGUGCAUGGCAGCGAAAUGAGCAUGGGAGGAGCUAGUUUAGUACCACCUCGCUUGCUGGAGCGCAGGGUUGGCUGAGCUUCUCUAUAAAGAGGACUAGGAAGGGCCUUGGCAGAGGGAAAAAGCAGCGGUCAGCCAAGCACAAGACGUGCAGGUAGUUUGUUAAAAACAAUUAAAAUAAAAUAUUACUAGACCCGAUGGGUGCCCUAUUGGGUCGGGUCAGCUGUCGGGUUCGGGCAUGGGUCUUGUUCUCUGCCCAUGGGUAGGGUCGUGGGCAGCCAGUGCACCCAUAAACUAUUAGGGUAUGGGUCUGAGAAAGCUUGACCCGACCUUACCCGACCCGACUGCCAGGUUGACGGGAGCGGCUCGACCAAUGGCCACCGCAAUGCUCUUCUGCCCGCUGCUUGCCUCGCCACCCGGGCGCAAAAUAGAGCUGACAAGACGUCUGUAUGUACUGCAGUUCAAUGAGGAAGCACGUCACUUUUUGUAAAGAAAUACAAGACCAUCUUUCACCCAGGAGAGGUAAUAAUUUGUCAUCUAAACUUCCUAAGUUGCAACUGUAGACUCCCUCCGUUCGGAAAUAAGUGACGCUGCUUUAGUUCAUCGCUUAUUUCCAAAUGGAGGUAAUAGUAUCGAAGUUAUCUUCUUUACAUGUUCCUUACUCUAUUUUCUUUUUAAUUUUCUGUAUCUUGAUUAUUCUCUUUCUCUUAAUUUACACUGGGUACUUCAUUUUUUAAACUUAUUGUUAUCUGAUCUGUGUCUUUCUAUUCUCUUAGAUGGUCUUUGCGUUCUUGUGUUUGAGCUUGCAUGCCUAGCAGUUUACUUCUCACGCCGCUUUGAUUUAUGAGUUGAAGUCAGUAGUUGAUGCAUUCUGACUUCUUUGAUUGUUUAUUGUGUAUCUAGGUUAACUGAAAUAGGGAGAUGGCGCUGUCCCCAUGGACAAAGUCAGUUGCUCCGAUAUGGAUGAGCAGCAGGUGCUGCUACCGCUGCAGGUGGACAAGGCACGAGGUCUCAUGGCUCCUCCCACUCUUCCCAACAACACUGUUGUGAUGUACUGAAGCCUCCCGUUCCACAUAUUCAAUACUUGCACCUCAACGUCACUUCUGUGAGUGGUGGCCUAGGUUAGGUCGAUCCCUAAUCUCUGUUCCAAUUUAUUCCGGUGUCAUUAUUCUCAGCAUCCUUUUAAUUGUGAUUUAUGCUGCCUUUGUAUUUUUUGGGGCUAGAGAUUGUAGGUUGAUUUAGAUUGCUAACUCGAUUCAGACUGUCAAUACUACUGUAGAUAUCGAUGUUUCCAGAGCAUCAUUAUCAAUUGGCUGUUAUCUCAUUGUGUUUAUGAGCAGAUACAACAUCUCUUGUGAGACUUAGUCUUAAACUUGCUGAUAUAAACUACUUGGCAAUAUUUAUAGAAUGUAUGUCUUUCUGUUUGUACUACUUGAUACAAAUCAGUUGUCCUAGGCAAACAUUGUGGCUUGCUUUUGGUACAGAUUUUCCCUCUGUGAUCUUUAGUUUUAUGGUUAUCCUGGGCAACAACUACACUUUGCUUGUGGUAUAUAUUUAAUCUAUAUGCCCUAUAUUUAGUUAUCCUGGGCAACAGCUAUACCUUGCUCUUGAUGUAUCUUUGUAGUGUUUGUGAUAUAUACCAAACACAUUAUUCUGGGCGGUUAUUUUAAUUUCUUUUUGAUGUUCUAAACGCUUUGUGAUAUUAAAGUUUUAGUCGCUGUGAGGCAACACCUGCAAGGCGUGCUUCCGAUCUUAGCAUUAGACCAAAACGUUUGGACCGGUACCGUUAAGCCUGCUUCCGAUCUUCGCAUUAACUACUUUGACCAAAACGUUGGGAUCGGCACCUUUGCGCCAAGGCGCGAUCCCAAUCUAGUUUAUGAUACUCCUAAAACUUCUUCCUGGAUAUCAUAUUUAGAUUGGUCUGACUCAGACAAAGCGUAGUUUAAUAUUGUGCGAAAAUCACAUACACGUGGAAGGAGGUAGACGUCAAUCUGACCAGGCACAUUUCUGUGUCCAAUGUAAGCCCAAGUAUAAGAUAGUCAAUGUCAGUUUCUUUUGACUUCUACCCAUCAAACGAGCUCGAUAAGGAACCUGUAUCAAACAAUACCAAUUUAUUUAGUUUUAAGAGUUUAAAAAAUGAGCCCUUUUUAGGUAUAUCUACAACUAAUUGGUUAUGUCUUAGACAGAAAUACUUCAUAUUAUAAAGACUCUAGUUAUAGGUGAAUUGAUGUGAGAUUCUUGUAUAAGACAUGUUCAAAUAUUAUAAUUUGACCAUCAACUAUAUUAGUAAGUGAAAGUGACAAAGUUGAGCCCUUCUUGUUCAGAAGUACAAUGUCAUCAAACUAUAUUAAUGAGAUCUUACAUGGAGAUUGUACCCAAUUUUCUUUGAAAUUUUUCCCUUUUCCUUUUUAUAUGUUAUGUCGGUUAAGUCUCAGUCGACUAAGAUCUAUCCACACCCUUAAUCUAUAGUCUAAUUCUCCAUGCUCUCCUCCAACUUAGCAAGAAUAUUUUUAAAUGCUUAUAACCUACUUACAUCGACUUAUUAUAUUUGCUCUAAAUAGCUUUAACACACUACCUAUUAUCUUAACAGAUAAAAUAAUCCACAUUUAUCACUACAAGAAUCUUGUUAAUCCAUGACGGAUCCAGUCUGUCAUGGAACAGUGCAAAACCGUCAAGGAGGGAGGUCCAUGACGGAUUUGAAAUCCGUCAGGUAUAUCGCGUCAUAAUUUGACAACUGCACCACCAUGACAGUUCUCGGCCAUCACCGAUCAGUCCCAGGCCCGCCAUAGGCCCGGUACUCCAUGACAGACUAGUCCAUCAUGGUUUUACAUGACCGUACUAAUAUAACUGUACUAAUAUAUGGACCUCAUAUGGCAUCUACGUGGCGCUGGUGUAGAUCUGACGUGGCAUACUGCUAGGCCCAUUUUUUUAGUGUGCGGUUUAGUGCAUUUAUUUUAAUAAGGCCCAUUCAUCCAACCAGCCACAUCACGACCAAUAACAGAGAAUUAAUCAAACAGUCACAACACAACUGAUUAAGUUGGAAACACGUUACUGAUAGAUAUUGGAUAACUAUCUUUCCCAAUCGCCAUCAUCUCACGACUGAAACUGAUGCUAUCUUAGUAUCUUUCCUUGUCGUCAUCAGCUCCCAAUUAGAAAAGAUGGCUAUCUUUUCUGUCAGAUUAUUUUGUUUUUGUUUUGAGGAAACGACACGUCCUUUACUCUUGUUGAAAAUGAUUAGACAAAAAAUGCAAAGGUUUGUUUUGAUUGAGGUAUGCUCCUGCAAGCAGCACCCAAGGUUUUCUCAGCACUAGAGAAAGCUGCCACAAUGCAAAAAAAUAAAAAAUCCAAAAUCAGCAAAUUACGGCAACAACAAAAACUAGUGUCGUUUCCCCAUUGGGGGCAUCAAUCUUGGAGGGGUUCAUCGGCUAAAGGGACCAGUGGAUGAUUACAGUGGUGGAGCGGCGUGGCAUUUGACGCGCCGACAUGGACGGGUCUCGACGACAUGGGGCAGCGGGGUCUUGGCAAUGGUCACGUGUUGAUGGACGCGCGCAGGAGGGCGGCGCUGUCUGGAGUCGUGGUGGCGUCGACGGUAGUUGGACCUCGCAAGGCAUAUGCAUUGAUCUCUCCGGAAGAUGGCGGGCGCUGAUUCUUCAGUGUGCGCAUGCGGUGUAUGUUGAGGGUCUGUUACACCGGUUGGUGCUCUAGGCUCGUCAGGUAGCCUCGGGUGGCCACCAGAUUAGAUGGUGUGCAUGGAUGCGCCAGGACACUCCAUGAGACUUGUGUGUGUAGUGAUUGAGGUUGCCAGGAAGGUUGUUUCGGAUUGAUCCAUGUAUCUUCUUUGUCGGACUGUUGAAUAAUUUAAAAAGAUGACUGUGUGUCGAUGCAGAGGCCGGAGUAAUCCCCUUUUCGAAAAAUGUGCGCUACAAGUGGGGCCCAACAGAGGUGCGUCCUAAUGUAUUUUCAAAUCUCAAGUGUCUUAAUUUAUCCAUCCGUAAAAUGCGUGUCGGCGCUGUUUGCGCAUUGUAAAGGGCUCUUAGUCUGCCAUACACAUCUGGUGUUGGUGUAUAGCUAGGGAACUCGUUGGACAGAAGGUGGAUUUUAUUGACUCAAAAUGUAACAUCAAUGAGAUAUAAACAGGUAAGCUAGCAGCCUAGCAACAAUGAAGAUUGGCAUGUGUCAAAUCGAUGUUAUAUAUUUUGAUAUCAAAUCACUUGAUUCAAGUAGAAGGUAUAACUGUAUUGUUGAUUGGUAAUAAACUCACGAGAAGAUAACAAAAGAUAAGAAGAAGCAAAAGCAAACGAGCGUUUACAAGAACAAAAACUUUUAUUGGAACAUAUACUGUAUGUAACUUUCUAUUUAUUCACUUCUAGUAUAGACAACCAUACAUCCAACAAUCAGCUCACCUUUCUUUUACCAGACACGUCUGAACACACGCCACUGCCUUUAGGAGUCCCUUCACGCCGCCUCAUCGAUCCUGCACACCUCUCCCGUUGGACGGCCUCGUCAUUGACCGGAGAAGCGGGGACCUGCCCCUUCGUAGAUCUUAGUUAAAGUUGUUGGAUAUAUGCCUUAGAGGUAAUAAUAAUGUAUUACUAUAUUUUCAUGUUUGUUAAUAAUGUUUAUAUUUCUAUACUAUAAUUGCAAUGAUUCUUGAAAAUGAGAUCUAGAGGAAAACUCGGUUGCAUGGGUGGAAACUUAAACACCAAAUUGAUCCCUACUCUCGCCUCUAAGACAAGCUCAGAUAUUGCAGAUGAUCUCGUUUUCCUGAUCAUGGGUAUAAGGAUGCUAACAAUAAUGAAAACACAUUGUUGAGUGAACAAUGUAGUUGGAUAGACCCAAAUUAUGAUUAAGAGUGAGACACUUCGUAACUUAGUUAUCGGUAUUAUCAUAUAAUAUAUUAACGCGUACUCAUGUCCUUAGACCAUGAGAAUAUUGUAGGCCUUCAUGCCGGAUGGUUAACUUGGGGUUGUCAAACGUUUUCCGUAACAAGGAGAUCAUAAAGGUAGUUUACGGGUACACUAAAAAAAUAUGUCAAGGUUCUCGACAAUUCAAGACUUGGAUUUUCUCCUCCUCCGAUGGAGAGAUAUUCUCUGGGUCCACUCAAUAUUACGGUAUUCAUCGUGGUCUAACCAAACACAAGUGUGAUAUUGAUCGUGGGGAUAACAUAAAUACAUAAACUAGAAACUAGAACACAACAAGUAAUGAAUAUAACUUGGUAUUUGAUACCGAUAAGUCUCGCCUUGGGUUUUAUACAAGUAUCCCAAAGCAGAGGGUAUGCGGAACUAAAGGUUUACUCGAUAAAGAUAUUUGUGUGUACGUCGGAAUUAACAUGGGUGUCCAGAUCCAUUGUUAAUUUUUGAUCGGAAAAUGUUUUGGGUCAUGUCCACAUAUUACCGAACCAGUGUCACACACUUAACGACUAGUGUUUUAUUUGAGUACUAGAAAUACUAGCAAGUUACACGUGCCGUGAACAUGAGAGUAAAUGCGACAAAUAUCAAUUUACCACGUCAUAAUAGGCAAACAUAUAAAUUGGAGUUAUCUUAUGGACGAAAUAUAAGAUAUAGGUUUAAGUCUGAAUGUUCAUUCCAUUCAAAAUCAAAUUAUGACUACAGAAUAUUCGAUGACUAUGUGGUAUAUCCUACACAAAACAAGUUUGAAAUAUAUAAGAAUAGCUAAAUACUAAAUGUGCCAAGACAAAGUGGACUUUAGGAAGAUGUUGCCAUAGAUUUAAACCACAACAAGCAAAUAUCAUAUAGUAAAAACACAUGCCAAUUAUUUUGUAAGAAAAAACUUGAGAGAAGAGUCUAGAAAAAAAAAUGAGAAAUGGUUGUAUUUUGUGCAUAUUAUGUAAUGUAAAUGAUAUAACAAUAAUGAAUGACAAUUCUCUUAAUAGAAAAGUUUGUAGAAUUAAAGUACGAAAGAAUCUAGAAGAAAGCGGAAGUGUCUUUAUUUUGAGGUAUGUGCAUAUCAUGAGUACCUAAGCUCAAGUAGAAUCGUCUACAUAGUAUACACGUGGAAAAAUCUGAUGUAGAGGAAACAAUAUCUAACAGCCAAUACUACUCAGAUUUACCACCUCCCAACCGUUGGAUUGGUUUCAUCCAACGGCCAAUAUGUGAAGUUAUUCGGACAAUAUAUAGUGGUAUAGAUAGGAGAAUGACAAAAUGAGCUCCGAAAGAGUUCCAGAUGGUUUCGGAAAUGUUUUGAGUGGAUCCGGGAGCGUCCCAAAAGUAUCUAGAAGCCUCCAAAAGGUUCCGAGAAGUCCUGGAAUAUUCCAGGGGGGGGGCGUUUGGAGGCACCCCUGCAUAGCUAUUGCGCUCCUCUAUCCUCCAUCUAGUUGAGAACCCGAAGGAUAACCGCUAGGCUCUUCUCCCUCUAGUUUUCUCUUGUCAGAUUUUUUCCUGGACACUAGUAGAAAAGGGGGCAAUGGGGGCAUUGGACCCGGUUCUUGAGCCCCGGGGGCCGGCCGGGCCACGUGGGCCAUUGGUCCCGGUUCGUCUGGACCUUUUGGUCCCGGUUGGCGGGACGAACCGGGACCAAUGUGCCUUGCUCCUGGCCCACCACCAUUGGUCCCGGUUGGGGGAAUGAACCGGGACCAAAGGCUUCCCUUUAGUCCCGGUUCAUGCCACGAACUGGGACCAAUUAAUUGCCUAUAUAUACCCCGCGAGCAGAGCACUCUCACUGCUCUGUUUUUCAUGGCCGGCGAGGAGAGAGCUUUGUGUUGCUCUAGCUCACCUCCUAUGCACACGAGGUGUUUGAUGGAAUGCCCGAGCCACACUACUUAAGCUUUCUCCUCUCCAAGCUCCACCUCCAAGCUCCAUUUUUCUCAAUAUUUGUCUAGGUUUAGCGGUCCGUCACGUCCCAUCCCCGUCUUCACCGCCGUCGAUCGCCCGCGUCGCCGGCACCACCGUGGUGAGCCUCUUGUUCUUAUCUUCUUUUUGAAAGGAAAAAAAACUCUUACUUGUAUGUUUAUAUAGAUACUUGUAUAAUUUUCUUACUUUUAUUAUUGCAUCUUAUAUAGUGCGAUGGUUUUGGUAUCCGCCCCCGUCGGCCCUCGUCCUGUCUAUGAUUCUGAUGUGGUAUAUAUUAUCUUUUCAUAACUAUUGGUUCAUUUAUUGUUUAUGACAAUUAUGCCGACCAACGUGACAUAGAUUUUAUUUAUCUAGGAGGUUGUUGAACCGGAAAUUCCAACCGACCCUAUUGUCGAGAGGUUAAAUUUAGUUGAAGAAGAAAAAAAUUUGUUGAAGGAAAAAAUUAGAAAAAUUGAGGAGGAGAAGAUGAUAUUGGAGUUGCAUGUUGCGGAUGUCGUCGAUGAUCACAAGAUCAAGAUGGAUGCAAUGCACUUGAAGAUUAGAAAGAUUAGAAAAUAUGCCAUUCAUACCGAGGCUUGGUAUCAUUAUGUCGUUGGAUCAGUUGUUACAUUGGUUGCGAUUAUGAUCGCAUUUGUUUUCGCAUUGAAAUGUUUUACAUAGUUUCAGUGUAUGGUUUAAUUAAUUUAGAUGCUCUGCAGAGCUUUAUGUUGUUAGAUGAGAACUAUGUAUGUACUUUGGUUUUAAUGUGAUGAUGAACUUCUAUUAAUUUGGUCACUUAAUUAUAUAAUGCACGCAGAUGAACCGGCAAUGGAUGUACGGUUCAAGACACACCUCCGAGUACAUUAAGGGCGUGCAUGAUUUUCUCGAAGUGGCUGAGGCAAACAAGCAGAAUGGUUUUAUGUGUUGUCCAUGCCCUGUAUGUGGGAAUACGAAGUCUUACUCUGACCGGAAAAUCCUCCACACCCACCUGCUUUACAAGGGUUUUAUGCCACACUAUAAUGUUUGGACGAGGCACGGAGAAAUAGGGGUUAUGAUGGAAGAUGGCGAAGAAGAAGAGUACGAUGACAACUAUGUGCCCCCUGAAUACGGUGAUGCUCCUGAAGAUCAAGAGAAACCAGACGAUGUGCACGAUGAUGCUGCAACGGGCGAAGCUGCUGAAGAUCAAGAGUAACUAGACGAUGUGCCCGAUGAUGAUGAUCUCUGCCGGGUCAUUGUCGAUGCAAGGACGCAAUGCGAAAGUCAAAAGGAGAAGCUGAAGUUCAAUCGCAUGCUAGAGGACCACAAAAAAGGGUUGUACCCCAAUUGCGAAGAUGGCAAGACAAAGCUGGGUACCGUACUAGAAUUGCUGCAAUGGAAGGCAGAGAAUGCUGUGCCUGACAAAGGAUUUGAGAAGCUACUUAAAAUAUUGAAGAAGAAGCUUCCAAAGGAUAACGAAUUGCCCGACAGUACAUACGCAGCAAAGAAGGUCGUAUGCCCUCUAGGAUUGGAGGUGCAGAAGAUACAUGCAUGCCCUAAUGACUGCAUCCUCUACCGCGGUGCGUACAAGAAUCUGAACGCAUGCCCGGUAUGCGGUGCAUUACGGUAUAAGAUCAGACGAGAUGACCCUGGUGAUGUUGACGGCGAGCCCCCCAGGAAGAGGGUUCCUGCGAAGGUGAUGUGGUAUGCUCCUAUAAUACCACGGUUGAAACGUCUGUUCAGAAACGGAGAGCAUGCCAAGUUGAUGCGAUGGCGCAGUGAGGACCGUAAGAAAGACGGGAAGUUGAGAGCACCCGCUGACGGGUCGCAGUGGAGAAAAAUCGAGAGAAAGUACUGGGAUGAGUUUGCAAGUGAGCCAAGGAACGUAUGGUUUGCUUUAAGCGCGGAUGGCAUUAAUCCUUUCGGGGAGCAGAGCAGCAAUCACAGCACCUGGCCCGUCACUCUAUGUAUGUAUAACCUUCCUCCUUGGAUGUGCAUGAAGCGGAAGUUCAUUAUGAUGCCAGUUCUCAUCCAAGGCCCUAAGCAACCCGGCAAUGACAUUGAUGUGUACCUAAGGCCAUUAGUUGAAGAACUUUUAGAGCUGUGGAAUGGAAACGGUGUACGUAGGUGGGAUGAGCACAAACAGGAGGAACUUAACCUAAAGGCGUUGCUGUUCGUGACCAUCAACGAUUGGCCCGCUCUCAGUAACCUUUCAGGAUAGACAAACAAGGGAUACCACGCAUGCACGCACUGUUUACUUGACACCGAUAGUAUAUACCUGGCAAGCUGCAGGAAGAAUGUGUACCUGGGCCAUCGUCGAUUUCUUCCGACCAACCAUCAAUGUCGAAAGAAAGGCAAGCAUUUCAAAGGCGAGGCAGAUCACCGGAAGAAGCCCGCCAUGCGUACCGGAGAUCACGUACUUGCUAUGGUCAAUGAUUUACACGUAAUCUUUGGAAAGGGUCCCGGCGGACUAGCUGUUCCGAGUGACAUCGGGGGACACGCACCCAUGUGGAAGAAGAAAUCUAUAUUUUGGGACCUACCCUACUAGAAAGACCUAGAGGUCCGCUCUUCGAUCGACGUGAUGCACGUGACGAAGAACCUUUGCGUGAACCUGCUAGGCUUCUUGGGCGUGUAUGGGAAGACAAAAGAUACAGCUGAGGCACGGGAGGACCUACAACGUUUGCACGAAAAAGACGGCAUGCCUCCAAAGCAGUAUGAAGGUCCUGCCAGCUAUGCUCUUACCAAAGAAGAGAAGGAAAUCUUCUUUGAAUGCCUUCUUAGUAUGAAGGUCCCGACUGGCUUCUCGUCGAAUAUAAAAGAAAUAAUAAAUAUGGCAGAGAAAAAGUUUCAGAACCUAAAGUCUCAUGACUGCCACGUGAUUAUGACGCAACUGCUUCCUGUUGCAUUGAGGGAGCUUCUACCGGAAAACGUCCGAUUAGCCAUUGUGAAGCUAUGUGCAUUCCUCAAUGCAAUAUCUUAGAAGGUGAUCGAUCCAGAAAUCAUACAAAGGCUAAGGAGUGAUGUGGUGCAAUGUCUUGUCAGUUUCGAGCUGGUGUUCCCACCAUCCUUCUUCAAUAUCAUGACGCACGUCCUAGUUCAUCUAGUUGACGAGAUUGUCAUUUUGGGCCCCGUAUUUCUACACAAUAUGUACCCCUUUGAGAGGUUCAUGGGAGUCCUAAAGAAAUAUGUCCGUAACCGCGCUAGGCCAGAAGGAAGCAUCUCCAUGGGCCAUCAAACAGAGGAUGUCAUCAGGUUUUGUGUUGACUUCAUUCCUGGCCUUAAGAAGAUAGGUCUCCCUAAAUCGCGGUAUGAGGGGAGACUGACUGGAAAAGGCACGCUUGGAAGGGACUCAAUAAUAUGCAGGGACGGAUAUUCUUGGUCUCAAGCACACUACACAGUUCUACAGAACUCUACCUUGGUGACCCCGUAUGUCGAUGAACACAAGAACAGUCUGCGCUCCAAACACCCGAAGCAGUGCGACGACUGGAUUACAUGUGAACACAUCAGGACUUUCAGCAGUUGGUUGGAAGCACGUAUCAGAGGUGACAACACUAUUUGUGAUGAGCUGUAUGUCACACCCUAGCUAGUCAUGCAUUAGAGUGUUGCAUCAUGUUUAUUCUUUCAUCAGAAACUUGAAAUGGGGAUGACAGAACCCCCAGUUCCCUCUGAAACCAAUUAGGGUUACUAAAAUAAUUUUUCAAUGAACCUGAAAUGCCCUUCUAAAAUGUCCAUCAUUUUAGCCUUGGUUCAGAACCUCUGCCAAAAAUGGUGCACACUUUUCUAGGCCAUCCUAGGGUUCUUGAGUUAAAUCAUAACUAUUUGAAUUUGGGCAUUUAAAAUAAUAUAAAAUAAUUAAAUGCUCAAAUAUCUCCAAACUAAAAUGUUUCAUGUUGGAAAUAUUCCAACUAUGGACCAGGAGUAGUUUGGUGAUUUUUGGAGUUGCCUAGGUAUUUUAUUUAAUUCAACAAAGUUGCAGAAUUAUUAAAUAAAACAGAAAACAGAAAAGAGAGGAGAAACUUACCUGUGCGGCCCAGCCAGCUGGCCGGCCCAGCUAGCCAGCCCAGCACUGUAGCUCCCCGUCGUCUUCCUCCCCACGCCCCGAAGCUGCUGCGUGCUCGCGCGCGCGCGGCCGCGCGGCCACCUCCUGCUUGCCGACGCCCCCCUGGCCGCGUGGACGACGCCCGCAGCCCGUCCCGAUCCCCCCUGCUCUCGCUCACUCUCCCCCGUUUCUCCCUCGCUCUCUCUCGCUCUCGGCCGAACACCACCGUCGCCGCCGUUCGCCGUAGCCACUGACUCCGGCCACCCCUCGCUCCCCCGAGUAGCUCAGAAGCUCCGCCUCGACUCCCUCUUCCUCCCCACCGCUCCACGAGUCCCCGGAAGCCCUGCAUCGCCGCCACGUCGCCGUUCCCCUCUUCGGACUCCGACCACCGUCGCCGACGAAUUCGCCGUCUCCAGCGCGUCCCCGAGCCCGCUUCGACGCCCACUGCAACCGCGGUGAGCUACGCCACCGUUUCCCCCUCUUCUCCCCCUCGUUCCCUCACCGUAGCUGCAUCCCCACCUCGGCCGAACCUCCGCCGUCGCCGAGCUCGCCGUCGACGCAGCUCCGGUGACCAUUUGGUCACCCCGGCGAGUCCAACGCGUUCACAGAACCCAGUAGAGCAUCCCUAGAGCCUCACUUUGCUCGACUUCGAGCUCCAGCACCACUCCCGUGCACGACCGAACCCCGGCGGCCGCAGCUGAGCUCGCCGCCGUCGACUCCGGCCACCCCGACCCCAACGGACUCCACCAAGAGCCGCGGGUCGUCCUCAGCUUCACUCCGGUGGUCGCCACGUUCCAUUUGGUGGCCGAAACGUCCAAAACCACUAUCGCCGCCGCACUGUUGGUCGCCGCCGGCCAGAACUCCGGCGAGCUGACGUGGCCUAGUUAAUUAACCACUAACCCACCACCUACAGACGCUGACAAGUGGGCCCCAGGGGUUAGUCAAAGCUAACCAGCCCGGGGUCAACGCGGGAUUAGCCCCUGUGACACUGACGUGUGGACCCCACACGUCAGGUUUGACCCGAGCCAGCCCUGUUGACCUGCUGAUGUCACUAUGAUGUCAGGCUGACGCAGUAAAUGAUAUUUCUGGAUUUAAAUUAAAUCAGGAAAUUCCAGAAUAUUAUUUAAACUUCAAAAAUUCAUAACUUUUAUUCUGUAACUCCAAAUUGGACAAAUAAUAUAUGAAAAAUGAUCAGAAAAAUCCAAUCUAUCCAUCUGUACCAUUUUCAUGCAUGAUCAAACAAGUUAAGUUGAUGUUUCAAUCAGAACAAGAAAAGGCACUUUAAAAGGCCAUAUUUGAAUUUGGAAUUUGAAUCUUUGAUUCAAAUUGGCUCAAACACAUCUGGUUUUAGUUGCAUUAGCCCAACACACUCAUAUUGCCAUGUUUCAUGCAUGCAUCAUAUUGUUGCAUAUUGUUUGGUGAUGUUUGUGUAUCGAUGUCCUUUGCGACAGGAUCUGUUCCCGAGGAGUACCGUGAUUACUCUAACGAAGAACCGUAUCCGUGCAACGAACCAUCAGGCAAGCAACCAACCAUUUGAUCAUAUCGAUACAAUCCCAUGUUCUCGCUCCUGCUCUCUUUUACUGCAUUAAGACAACGCGAUUCAAACUGCUGUGUGCUACGGUAGUUGAACCCAUUUCCUCUGCAUGACCUGUCAUUGCCACAGUAACUAGAUGAAACCCACUAGCAUGUGUAGGAGUUGAUUGAGCCAUAUGUAUGUGUUGUUCCUACCUUGCUAUGCCUGCUAUGCUUAGAGUCGUGUCAGGUCUGGUUCAUCUGGGUGAUGGGCUAGAGUGAAAUGAUUAUGUCGGUAAUGAGAGUGGUGUGGUGAACACGAUUUGGUAAAGGUAUCGAUGAGAGGCCAUGUAGGAGUACAUGGUGGGUUGUUUCAUUGAAGCCGACCUUAAGCACUGAGAUCUGUAUGUGUGAUUUAAGAUACAGCUACUACCAUGCAUUGGGCCCUGAAAUAUGACCCCGCUCGACUUCUUAUUCACCCUAGCUCUCUGUCCAGGAGUUGCAAGUAGUUUCUGGUGUUUGUAGCCUACUGGAGGCCGUGGACAGCGAUAACCGUAGGGGUGGGCUGUGAUGCGGUAGGUACGUGGCACGGUGUACCGAAUACCCGUUAGGUAUCUCGGGAACCCUGUUCACAUCGUUCGGGGCCGUAUGGGAAACCUCGGCCGGACUCCCUGCGGAUGGAACCUGGAUAGGCGACAAACCUGGACUAGAGGCUUAAGUGUUUAGGUAGGUCGUGGUCUACACCCACGUCGGCUUUCGCUUGAAGUCUGCCGAGCACAUGUCGUGUGCAGACGCUAAGUGGUGGAAACAUGUAUGAAGAAGUACACCCCUGCAGGGUUAACAUGAUCUAUUCGAAUAGCCGCGUCCGCGGUAAAGGACUACUUGGUUGCCUAUACAGUUCAUAGACAAGUAAAUGGAAACUACUAAAAGCCUCAAGAUAAGUGUGAGUGCCGAGGAUGGCUCUUCCGUAGGAAGACGGAGGUGGAUCCUCGGUAGUGUAUUGAAGUGGUGAAUAGUGGACUCGUGUGCGCAAAACUAUUUCAAACUGGAGUAUCGUAGGAUAGUCUAGCCAAGAGUCAAAGCUGGCUUGCUGCAAUAACUCCACCAACCCUUCUUGAUACUAUGCAUGUAUGUAGGAUCUGAUGUAAGUCUUGCUGAGUACCUUUCUACUCAUGUUGCUAUAAUCUACAUUUUUACAGAAGACGCUGCAACCCCUUCUGAUGGGUUCUAUGUAGACGUUGACAUCAACGAGUAGGCUAAAAGACCCAGGUGGUGACCCUGAGCUUGUGAAGGACCGCAUAGUAUAGCCAGGCUUUCCAAGCCUCUUUUAUUUUACUAGUUGUCUGUACUCAGACAAGUUACUUCCGCUGUUGGCUUGUAUGAUUGUAUGACUUGUAUGUUGGGUCGUGAGACCCGUAUCUUUGUGUGUAUGUUAUGUAUGGCUCACUGAGCCUUAAAUAAAGUACUUGUGUCGUAGAGUCAUGUUGUGAUGCUUCGUUGUAUUUGCACAUAUCGAGCAUAUUGUGUGUAUGAUUGAAAUGCUUGGUAUGUGUGGGAUCUGACUAUCUAGUUGUUUAUCUUUAGUAGCCUCUCUUACCAGGAAAUGUCUCCUAGUGUUACCGCUGAGCCAUGGUAGCUUGCUACUGCUCUGGAACACUUAGGCUGGCCGGCAUGUGUCCUUCUUCGUUCCUGUGUCUGUCCCUUCGGGGAAAUGUCACGCUUUGAGUACCGGAGUCCUGUUAGCCCGCUACAGCCCGGUUUACCGGAGUCCUGCUAGCCCAGUGCUACAGCCCGGACCCACUUGCUGAUGACCGACACGUUCGAAGCUGGGUCAUGGAUGCCUGUCCCUGUAAGUCUGUGCCACUUUGGGUUUACGACUAGUCAUGUCAGCCCGGGCUCUUUAUCAUAUGGAUGCUAGCGACACUAUCAUAUACGUGAGCCAAAAGGCGCAAACGGUCCCGGGAAAAGGGUAAGACGACACCCGUGGGGAUACCGUGCGUGAGGCCGCAAAGUGAUAUGAGGUGUUACCAGCUAGAUCGAUGUGACAUCGAGUCGGGGUCCUGACAGCGUUGGUAUCAGAGCCGGACUGCCUGUAGGUUCUUCAAGCCAAACUGGUCGAUGUUGAGUCUAGAAAUUCUUUAGUUAUAUGUAGGGGAAUUGUUUGUGGGUUGGAACGUAAGGCUCUUUUUACUCCUUAUAUCUUAUGACUUUCUGAUCUGAGUCAGUCCAUUCUUCCACCGGGGGUUAAGGAAUUAGGAUCUGCUCUCUCUAUCAGGAUCACGAGUUACUAAUCAGUAGUACCUUAUAAGUUUGAUGGUUACAAGCCUAGUUCAGUUCUACUACCACAUUAUGUUGUAAGAAUGGUUUCAAGACUUGAUAUGAUGAUGUUGAGUGUGUACGAAAUCCUUUGUCAAAUGUCUCAAUAUCCUUUUUGAGCAUUUACAGCUGUUAUGCUGCCGAAAUUUUGCUAGAAAUUCUAAUGCCUUUGCAUUAUAAUUGUGCUUUCAGAUGGCCACUCGCGACCUCAAUCAAGUGGUUCGCCUGACUCGGUGCCUAGAUGUACCCGGCCAUACUGCUAAGUUGGUCAGGGUAAUGACUGAGGCUGGAUACCGCUGGUAUCCUGAGUACACGGUCGAAGAGCAAUUCCGAGACUUUAAUCAAAGCCAGUAUCUCUGCACUGUCAGGAUAUUUCCAUAUUAUCCUGGAUCCACUGAGCCUCUUCACUGCUCCUAUGGACUCGGGGUUACUAUUGAGAUGGCUGUGCAGGAUGCCGCCUACUCUAUGAUGACCAUUAUGCGAGUCAGAUCUGGUCUAUUUCGGGACUCUGACUUCCGGUAUAUGCCAGGAUCACUUCCGGGAGCACAAGGAUAUUUUCAGGCUAUAUAUGCUGACUCCACUCAGGAGGAUUCACGGACUCGCACCACUGCUGAGAUGCUCGAGGAUAAGGACCGUGAAAAUCGGGCCUUAAGGUUAGAGCUCUUCAAUACCCGUGCUGACCACUGGGCCACUUUGACUCGGUUCGCACCGGCGGUGCAAGCUGGAUAUUCAGAUAUGCGCGAUCUCUAUCCUGUGAGAUCUGCUCUGCCAGACGUGAUGGUUUGGCGUGAUGUAGGAGGCAUCACCCCACCUCGCGGUCCCCGCAGGCCACCGUUUGCUGGUCCAAGACCUCAUACUAGCCCCUAUGGUCCACAAGCUCCGCGAGACCGUCUGUUUCCGGAUGAUCAUGUUGAACUUCCGGGCUAUGGAGGUGAUUUCUACGAGGACUAUUACGGAUCGGUCUGAGUUAGUAGUAGUAUCACCAGUUCGCACUAGCUGUGUCGUCUAUCGUCCUGCGUGACUCGUGGGAUAUGACUAGUUUGUACUCCUUCCGGAGGUGUAGAAAAAUAAUGUAUAGGAGUUUGGAAUGCCUCCGAUGAGAUGUAAUCCUCCUUUCACCGUAAUAGUACUUUGUUUGGUCUUGUACUAAACCUUGUAUGGUGUGUAUGACGAUGGAAUAAAGAAGCAGUUUCUGUAUCUACCAUGUCAUACGGAUGAUCAUCUUGCAUUCCGAGUUAUUCCUUGCAUUAUGUAUCCUAUGUCGGAAUUUUAUCAUUCUGACUAAAUCAUUGCCUUGUUUACCUAGGAUGGUCAACACGCGCGCCAACCCUGCUUCUCAAGAGCAGGCCGAAGGCAGUGAAGCCAGAAAUGAACAUCUGCCUCAUCCUCCUUCACUAGCCGAGGUGAUGAUGGAAGCUGAGAGAAACAAGCGGGAGACAAACCGUUUGUUGGAGCGUAUUGAACAGAACACAGCACACCAUCAGAGGGCUAACGUGGUGUCACUCAGUGAUUUUAUCAAAUUGCAUCCACCCACGUUCCACCACUCCGUCGAGCCUCUCGACGCUGAUGACUGGCUUCGCAGUAUCUCUCAUAAACUGCGUUCCGCGCUGGUAGCGGAGGCUGACAAAGUCACCUUUGCUGCAUAUCACCUUGAAGGCCCCGCCAGUCUAUGGUGGGAGAAUUAUGGAGCCAUGCGCCCAGCGGGCCAUGUCACAACUUGGGCUGAAUUCAGUGAGGCUUUCCGUGAACACCACAUUCCGGAGGGUCUCAUGGACCGUAAGCGUGAAGAAUUUUGCAAUUUCACCCAAGGCCGACUUUCUGUGGAUGUCUAUAGCAGGGAGUUUGGUAACCUUGCACGAUAUGCAACCGAGGAAGUUUCUACUGACGCCAAGAAGCAAGCAAGGUUCCGUAAGGGCCUUAGUCCUGAGCUUCGUCGCGACCUCCGUCUGCAUGAGUGUACAUCUUUUUCGAAACUUGUCAACAAAGCCAUCAGUGCUGAAACUGGUCAGACUGACUAUGACGCAACACGCAAGCAUGGACGUGACAUGGGUUCCUCAUCCGGUGCUGGUCCUCAGAAGCGCCGCGUGUGGGUACCCAACACCGCCCUGCCACCCAGGUUCACACCGAGGCCAUCUUUCCAGGCGCCUCGCCCUGUCCAACAGUCUGCACCGGCCAAGCCCUAUGGGGGUCCAUCCAAUAAUGCUCCUCCACGUACCAGUUCCGUGACUUGUUUCAAGUGUGGGGAAUCUGGUCAUUAUAUGCGUGAGUGUCCCCAGACCAACCCCAAUCAAUCUGCUAAAGCUGUUGGCCGUGGCAAGCCGACAGGAAAAGUGUUCCACGCUAAACCGGUCACCGCUUCACGUGGCCAUGUCAACUGUAUCUCUGCCGAAGAAGCUCAAGAAGAUCCCAACGUCGUUCUCGGUACGCUUCUUGUUAAUUGCCACCCGGCAUCUGUUCUUUUCGAUACAGGAGCCUCUCAUUCCUUUAUAUCUGAAAAUUAUGCUCGUUUGCAUAACGUUGCAUUCUGUGAUCUGCCGUCCACUAUGGAAAUCUCUACCCCUGGGUCUAGAUGGCAGACCUCUAGGGUAAGUUAUGGGAAUGAAAUCCAAGUCGACAGACUUGUUUUUCUCGCAUCUUUGAUAGCCCUUAAAUCUUCAGAUAUUAAUAUCAUUUUGGGUAUGGACUGGAUGUCAGCUCAUCAAGCCAAAAUUGAUUGCUUCUCUAGGACCGUUCUACUCACCCAUCCUUCGGGGAAGAUAGUCAAUGUUUUGACUCGAAUAGCCAAGCGACAAUUAUAUUCUCUUAACGCCAGCCCUUUGCCAGACCUUGAGGACGUUCCGGUAGUUCGUGAUUUUCCGGAUGUCUUUCCAGAGGAAUUGCCAGGGGUUCCACCUGACAGGGAUGUUGAGUUCGUAAUAGACCUCAUUCCAGGAACCGUUCCGAUUGCUAGAAGGCCUUAUAAGAUGGCACCCCUAGAACUAGCCGAGCUUAAGAAGCAACUCGAUGAAUCCUUGAAAAAGGGUUUCAUCCGCCCUAGUUCAUCUCCGUGGGCUUGCCCCGUCCUAUUCGUUAAGAAAAAGGAUGGUACGGACCGAAUGGUUGUAGAUUACCGACCUGUCAAUUUGGUCACAAUCAAGAACAAAUAUCCACUUCCCAGGAUCAACGAUCUGUAUGAUCAGCUCGCUGGAUCCUCAGUCUUCUCCAAGAUGGAUUUGAGGUUGGGCUACCAUCAAAUCAAAAUCAGAAACGGGGACAUUUCUAAAAACGGCCUUUGUUACUCGUUACGGCCAAUACGAGUACACCGUCAUGUCCUUCGGUUUAACCAACGCUCCAGCCACUUUUUCUCGGUUAAUGAACUCAAUCUUCAUGGAGUAUUUGGAUAAAUUCGUCGUAGUUUAUCUCGAUGAUAUACUCAUAUACUCCAAGAACGAGGAAGAACACGCCGAACAUCUAAGGCUAGUGUUGCAGAAACUUCGAGAGCAUCGCCUUUAUGCCAAAUUUUCUAAAUGUGAAUUCUGGUUGCCAGAAGUGACCUAUCUGGGUCAUGUAAUAUCUGGUAAAGGUAUUGCUGUUAACCCUGAGCGAGUUCAAGCUGUCCUUGACUGGACUCCACCCGAAUCGGUCAAGCAAGUUCGGAGUUUUCUAGGCUUAGCGAGCUAUUGCCGUCGCUUUGUCGAGAACUUCUCCAAAGUCGCUAAACCCCUAACCGAACUCCUCAAGAAAGAUAAGAAGUUCGAAUGGACUCCACAAUGUGAGCACAGCUUUCAGGAACUGAAAAGACGCCUGACUUCUGCUCCCGUGCUGGUACCACCAGACUUCUCCAAAGACUUUGUUAUCUACUGCGACGCCUCGCGACAAGGACUAGGUUGCAUUCUCAUGCAAGAUCGACACGUAAUUGCUUACGCUUCACGGCAAUUGCACCCACAUGAGGAGAAUUAUCCUACUCAUGAUCUAGAACUUGCAGCCGUAGUCUAUGCCCUUAAGACCUGGCGACAUUACCUCCUCGGUAAUCGUUGCGAAAUAUUCACUGAUCACCAAAGUCUGAAGUACAUUUUCACCCAACCGGAUCUGAAUCUCAGGCAAAGACGUUGGGUUGAAUUGAUCACAGACUUCGACUUAGGGAUAACCUAUACCCCAGGGAAAGCCAACGUCAUGGCUGAUGCGCUAAGUCGUAAAUCUUAUUGUAACAACCUGAUGUUACAACAAAGUCAACCGUUUCUCCAUGAGGAAUUUCGGAAGCUUAACCUUCACAUUGUACCUCAAGGUUUUCUCUCCACCUUGGUGGCAAAACCUACCCUUACGGAUCAAAUCAUCAAAGCACAGAAGGUAGAUCCGGGAAUCUCCCGCAUCAAGAGGAACAUUCAGAAAGGAAUUGCGAAUUGUUUCUCCGUUAAUGAUCAAGGAGUCGUGUACUUCGGGGAUCGAUUAGUAGUUCCCAAAGUGCGCAACCUAAGGCGAUUAAUCCUUAAGGAAGCCCAUGAAUCUCCUCUCACCAUUCAUCCCGGUAGUACUAAAAUGUAUCAGGACCUACGCCAGAGGUUCUGGUGGACUAGGAUGAAGAGAGAAAUUGCUCAGUAUAUUGCCAAUUGCAACGUCUGUCGUCGUGUAAAAGCAGAGCAUCAACGGCCUGCUGGCACCCUUCAACCCUUAGCUAUUCCUGAAUGGAAAUGGGAUAAGAUUGGUAUGGAUUUCAUUACCGGUUUUCCCCGGACCAAAAGAGGGAAUAAUGCUAUUUUCGUCGUGGUCGAUCGUCUUUCCAAAGUAGCUCAUUUCUUACCUGUUCGUGAGAGUAUAACCGCUAGUCAGCUGGCAGACUUAUACAUCUCCCGAAUAGUGUCCCUCCAUGGUGUUCCUUUGGAAAUAAAUUCGGAUCGAGGAAGUCUUUUCACCUCUCGAUUUUGGGAAAGUUUCCAAAAUGCUAUGGGAACCCGUCUCUCCUUUAGCACCGCUUUCCACCCUCAGUCAAGUGGUCAAGUGGAACGCGUCAACCAAAUUCUAGAAGACAUGCUUCGAGCCUCUGUUAUCUCGUUCGGAAUGGACUGGGAGAAGUGCCUUCAAUUUGCCGAAUUCGCUUACAACAACAGCUAUCAAUCUAGCUUGGGUAAAGCCCCUUUUGAAGUUCUCUAUGGACGACGAUGUCGAACACCCCUUAACUGGUCAGAGACCGGGGAAAGACAAUUCUUUGGCCCGGAUAUGAUUCAGGAAGCAGAAGAACAAGUUCGAAUCGUUCGUGAAAAGUUGAAAACAGCCCAAUCCCGUCAAAAGAGUCAAUAUGACCGAAAACAUAAGGCUAUGACUUUCGAGGUUGACGAGAAGGCUUAUCUUCGGGUCACCCCUCUGAAGGGAACCCAUCGCUUCGGUAUCAAAGGCAAAUUGGCUCCUCGUUACAUUGGACCUUUUCGCAUUCUUGCCAAACGAGGAGAAGUUGCCUACCAAUUGGAACUACCUCCGCACCUCUCCAGAGUUCACGAUGUCUUCCACGUUUCUCAACUCAGGCGUUGCUUCUCGGAUCCUAUCCGUGAAGUGGACCACGAAACGCUUGAUCUCCAAGAUAGUCUUACAUAUCGAGAGUACCCCAUUCGUAUCCUCGAUCAAGCCGAACGUACCACGCGACGUCAUAACAUCAAGUUUCUCAAGGUUCAAUGGUCGCACCAUUCUGAAGAUGAAGCAACUUGGGAAAGGGAGGAUCGUCUUCGACUUGAGUAUCCCGCCUUCUUCUCGGAGGAACCCAAAUCUCGGGACAAGAUUCUUUUGAGUGGGGGUGAGUUGUCACACCCUAGCUAGUCAUGCAUUAGAGUGUUGCAUCAUGUUUAUUCUUUCAUCAGAAACUUGAAAUGGGGAUGACAGAACCCCCAGUUCCCUCUGAAACCAAUUAGGGUUACUAAAAUAAUUUUUCAAUGAACCUGAAAUGCCCUUCUAAAAUAUCCAUCAUUUUAGCCUUGGUUCAGAACCUCUGCCAAAAAUGGUGCACACUUUUCUAGGCCAUCCUAGGGUUCUUGAGUUAAAUCAUAACUAUUUGAAUUUGGGCAUUUAAAAUAAUAUAAAAUAAUUAAAUGCUCAAAUAUCUCCAAACUAAAAUGUUUCAUGUUGGAAAUAUUCCAACUAUGGACCAGGAGUAGUUUGGUGAUUUUUGGAGUUGCCUAGGUAUUUUAUUUAAUUCAACAAAGUUGCAGAAUUAUUAAAUAAAACAGAAAACAGAAAAGAGAGGAGAAACUUACCUGUGCGGCCCAGCCAGCUGGCCGGCCCAGCUAGCCAGCCCAGCACUGUAGCUCCCCGUCGUCUUCCUCCCCACGCCCCGAAGCUGCUGCGUGCUCGCGCGCGCGCGGCCGCGCGGCCACCUCCUGCUUGCCGACGCCCCCCUGGCCGCGUGGACGACGCCCGCAGCCCGUCCCGAUCCCCCCUGCUCUCGCUCACUCUCCCCCGUUUCUCCCUCGCUCUCUCUCGCUCUCGGCCGAACACCACCGUCGCCGCCGUUCGCCGUAGCCACUGACUCCGGCCACCCCUCGCUCCCCCGAGUAGCUCAGAAGCUCCGCCUCGACUCCCUCUUCCUCCCCACCGCUCCACGAGUCCCCGGAAGCCCUGCAUCGCCGCCACGUCGCCGUUCCCCUCUUCGGACUCCGACCACCGUCGCCGACGAAUUCGCCGUCUCCAGCGCGUCCCCGAGCCCGCUUCGACGCCCACUGCAACCGCGGUGAGCUACGCCACCGUUUCCCCCUCUUCUCCCCCUCGUUCCCUCACCGUAGCUGCAUCCCCACCUCGGCCGAACCUCCGCCGUCGCCGAGCUCGCCGUCGACGCAGCUCCGGUGACCAUUUGGUCACCCCGGCGAGUCCAACGCGUUCACAGAACCCAGUAGAGCAUCCCUAGAGCCUCACUUUGCUCGACUUCGAGCUCCAGCACCACUCCCGUGCACGACCGAACCCCGGCGGCCGCAGCUGAGCUCGCCGCCGUCGACUCCGGCCACCCCGACCCCAACGGACUCCACCAAGAGCCGCGGGUCGUCCUCAGCUUCACUCCGGUGGUCGCCACGUUCCAUUUGGUGGCCGAAACGUCCAAAACCACUAUCGCCGCCGCACUGUUGGUCGCCGCCGGCCAGAACUCCGGCGAGCUGACGUGGCCUAGUUAAUUAACCACUAACCCACCACCUACAGACGCUGACAAGUGGGCCCCAGGGGUUAGUCAAAGCUAACCAGCCCGGGGUCAACGCGGGAUUAGCCCCUGUGACACUGACGUGUGGACCCCACACGUCAGGUUUGACCCGAGCCAGCCCUGUUGACCUGCUGAUGUCACUAUGAUGUCAGGCUGACGCAGUAAAUGAUAUUUCUGGAUUUAAAUUAAAUCAGGAAAUUCCAGAAUAUUAUUUAAACUUCAAAAAUUCAUAACUUUUAUUCUGUAACUCCAAAUUGGACAAAUAAUAUAUGAAAAAUGAUCAGAAAAAUCCAAUCUAUCCAUCUGUACCAUUUUCAUGCAUGAUCAAACAAGUUAAGUUGAUGUUUCAAUCAGAACAAGAAAAGGCACUUUAAAAGGCCAUAUUUGAAUUUGGAAUUUGAAUCUUUGAUUCAAAUUGGCUCAAACACAUCUGGUUUUAGUUGCAUUAGCCCAACACACUCAUAUUGCCAUGUUUCAUGCAUGCAUCAUAUUGUUGCAUAUUGUUUGGUGAUGUUUGUGUAUCGAUGUCCUUUGCGACAGGAUCUGUUCCCGAGGAGUACCGUGAUUACCCUAACGAAGAACCGUAUCCGUGCAACGAACCAUCAGGCAAGCAACCAACCAUUUGAUCAUAUCGAUACAAUCCCAUGUUCUCGCUCCUGCUCUCUUUUACUGCAUUAAGACAACGCGAUUCAAACUGCUGUGUGCUACGGUAGUUGAACCCAUUUCCUCUGCAUGACCUGUCAUUGCCACAGUAACUAGAUGAAACCCACUAGCAUGUGUAGGAGUUGAUUGAGCCAUAUGUAUGUGUUGUUCCUACCUUGCUAUGCCUGCUAUGCUUAGAGUCGUGUCAGGUCUGGUUCAUCUGGGUGAUGGGCUAGAGUGAAAUGUUAAUGUCGGUAAUGAGAGUGGUGUGGUGAACACGAUUUGGUAAAGGUAUCGAUGAGAGGCCAUGUAGGAGUACAUGGUGGGUUGUUUCAUUGAAGCCGACCUUAAGCACUGAGAUCUGUAUGUGUGAUUUAAGAACCAGCUACUACCAUGCAUUGGGCCCAAAACCAAUGGACCCUCUCGGCUUCUUAUUCACCCUAGUUCUCCGUCCAGGAGUUGCAAGUAGUUUCUGGUGUUUGUAGCCUACUGGAGGCCGUGGACAGCGCUGACCGUAGGGGUGGGCUGUGAUGCGGUAGGUACGUGGCACGGUGUACCGAAUACCCGUUAGGUAUCUCGGGAACCCUGUUCACAUCGUUCGGGGCCGUAUGGGAAACCUCGGCCGGACUCCCUGCGGAUGGAACCUGAAUAGGCGAUAAACCUGGACUGGAGGCUUAGGUGAUUAGGUAGGUCGUGGCCGACACCCACGUUGGGCUUCCGCUUGAAGGUUGCCGAGUACAUGUCGUGUAAACGACGAUAAGUGGUGAGAGCGUGUAUGAAGAAGUACACCCCUGCAGGGUUAACAUGAUCUAUUCGAAUAGCCGUGUCCGCGGUAAAGGACUACUUGGUUGCCUAUACAGUUCAUAGACAAGUAAAUGGAAACUAUUAAAAGCCUCAAGAUAAGUGUGAGUGCCGAGGAUGGCUCUUCCGUAGGAAGACGGUGGUGGAUCCUCGGUAGUGUAUUGAAGUGGUGAAUAGUGGACUCGUGUGCGCAAAACUAUUUCAAAUGGAGUAUCGUAGGAUAGUCUAGCCAGGAGUCAAAGCUGGCUUGCUGCAAUAACUCCACCAACCCUUCUUGAUACUAUGCAUGUAUGUAGGAUCUGAUGUAAGUCUUGCUGAGUACCUUUGUACUCAUGUUGCUAUAAUCUACAUUUUUACAGAAGACGCUGCAACCCCUUCUGAUGGGUUCUAUGUAGACGUUGACAUCAACGAGUAGGCUAAAGACCCAGGUGGUGACCCUGAGCUUGUGAUGGACCACAUAGUAUAGUUAGGCUUCCAAGCCUCUUUUAUUUUACUAGUUGUCUGUAUUCAGACAAGUUACUUCCGCUGUUGGCUUGUAUGACUGUAUGACUUGUAUGUUGGGUCGUGAGACCCGUACCUGUGUGUAUGAUAUGUAUGGCUCCCUGAGCCUUAAAUAGAGUACUUGUGUCAUAGAGUCAUGUUGUGAUGCUUCGUUGUAUUUGCACAUAUCGAGCAUAUUGUGUGUAUGUUUGAAAUGCUUGGUAUGUGUGGGAUCUGACUAUCUAGUUGUUUAUCUUUAGUAGCCUCUCAUACCGGGAAAUGUCUCCUAGUGUUACCGCUGAGCCAUGGUAGCUUGCUACUGCUCUGGAACACUUAGGCUGGCCGGCAUGUGUCCUUCUUCGUUCCUGUGUCUGUCCCUUCGGGGAAAUGUCACGCUUUGAGUACCGGAGUCCUGUUAGCCCGCUACAGCCCGGUUUACCGGAGUCCUGCUAGCCCAGUGCUACAGCCCGGACCCACUUGCUGAUGACCGACACGUUCGAAGCUGGGUCAUGGAUGCCUGUCCCUGUAAGUCUGUGCCACUUUGGGUUUACGACUAGUCAUGUCAGCCCGGGCUCUUUAUCAUAUGGAUGCUAGCGACACUAUCAUAUACGUGAGCCAAAAGGCGCAAACGGUCCCGGGAAAAGGGUAAGACGACACCCGUGGGGAUACCGUGCGUGAGGCCGCAAAGUGAUAUGAGGUGUUACCAGCUAGAUCGAUGUGACAUCGAGUCGGGGUCCUGACACUGUACUUGUUAUCCAGGGGACCAUCUUUGACUGUAUUGAUUUGGAAAGGAUACGAGAUAAAUGGGAAUACAUUUUACAUGAUUGACCAAGAUCAAAAGAGCACCAACCAAAACAGCGGUGUCUGCUUUGAUGCAACAACCGAGAGGGGAAAUGACACCUAUUAUGGUUACAUAGUGGACAUAUGGGAACUUGACUACGGACAUGAUUUUAAGGUCCCUUUGUUUAAGUGCAAAUGGGUCAAUGUGUCAGGAGGCGGGGUACAGGUAGACCCACAGUACAGAAUGACAACAGUGGAUCUGAAAAAUCUUGGGUACACUGACGAAUCGUUCGUCCUAGCCAAUGAUGUGGCACAUGUUAUCUAUGUGAAGGACAUGUCUACCAGACCGAGAAAGAGAAAAGAUAAGGAAGCAAAUACAUCAUACGAUGAGCCAAAGCGCUACAUAGUUCUUUCAGGAAAAAGGGACAUCGUGGGAGUGGAGGACAAGACAGACAUGUCUGAAGAUUAUGAAAAGUUUCAUGAAAUUCCUCCCUUUAAAGUCAAGGCUGACCCCAGCAUCCUGAUAAACGAUAAAGAUUAUCCAUGGUUACGGCGCAAUAAGCACAUGACACAAGCGAAGAAAAAGUGAAGACUUUCUCCCGAAACUAUUAUGAUGAUACCAUGCCAACUUUGUAACUGACGAGUAUGAUACCAUUGUCCGUUUUGUACAUGCACAUGCUAUGUGUGGGUCAAUUUAUGAUACCAUGCCAACUUUUAACUUUUUCAGAGUUCAUUUGAAAUGCUUUAAUGUCUUAUGGUUCGGCCCUCGUAAUAAUUAAAAAUAGCAACAAUAAGUAUUUUGUUGUAAGUAGAAACAAAAUAAAAUAAAUAAAGCAAGAAAGAAAAUCAAAAAACAAAAAAAAUGGAAAGUUUAUAAUUUUCCUAAAACUAAAAGCAAAAAGAAUUAAAAAUAAAGCAAAAAACAAAAGAAAAUAAAUAAUGCACAAAACAAAACAAAAAAACUGGAAAAAAUAAAAAUAGCAACAAUAAGUAAAGAAAACAAAAAAACAAAAAAAUGCCCCCCACUGAGCCCCCACGGCCUGAAUACGACUUGAAUCCCUACUAUGGGCCAGGAUUCAGGCCCGCAGUAGGCCCAGAAGGCCCAUCAGGCAAAGCAGUCGCAAGUAGGCCCAUAAGCCUGNNNNNNNNNNNNNNNNNNNNNNNNNNNNNNNNNNNNNNNNNNNNNNNNNNNNNNNNNNNNNNNNNNNNNNNNNNNNNNNNNNNNNNNNNNNNNNNNNNNNNNNNNNNNNNNNNNNNNNNNNNNNNNNNNNNNNNNNNNNNNNNNNNNNNNNNNNNNNNNNNNNNNNNNNNNNNNNNNNNNNNNNNNNNNNNNNNNNNNNNNNNNNNNNNNNNNNNNNNNNNNNNNNNNNNNNNNNNNNNNNNNNNNNNNNNNNNNNNNNNNNNNNNNNNNNNNNNNNNNNNNNNNNNNNNNNNNNNNNNNNNNNNNNNNNNNNNNNNNNNNNNNNNNNNNNNNNNNNNNNNNNNNNNNNNNNNNNNNNNNNNNNNNNNNNNNNNNNNNNNNNNNNNNNNNNNNNNNNNNNNNNNNNNNNNNNNNNNNNNNNNNNNNNNNNNNNNNNNNNNNNNNNNNNNNNNNNNNNNNNNNNNNNNNNNNNNNNNNNNNNNNNNNUCAUAUGUGUAUUUAUUGUUCAUGUUUUUUUUUCUGUUCAUAGAUUUUUUGUAUCUAUUGGCUCUUCGUCGCUCUGUAUUUAUUGUAUCUAUUGGUGAUAUUAAUUAUUGUAUAAUAUGUAAAUGUUUGUAUAUUCAUAUGAACAAUGCAUUAGGCAAAACCUUUGUUUUUUUUCGAAAUUUUCUAUUUGAACAUUUUUUUUAAAACAAGCAAUACUAAAAGAAUGAGAGGAAAAAGGAAAAUAACAAGAGGAAGAAAGGAGAAAAAGAGGAGAGGAAGAAGAGGAGAAAUAAAUAAGAAGAGGAAAAAAGAAAAAAAGGAGAGGAGAAGAAGAAAGGAAUAGAGGAGAAAGAAGAAAUUCUAUUUUUUCUUCUUUCUCCUCUAUUCCUUUCUUCUUCUCCUCUUUUUUUUCUUCUUCUUCUUCCUUCUUCCUUUUUCUCUUUUCUUCCUUUUCCUUAAUUAUUUUCCUUUCUCGAGGGAGAAGAAGAAAAAGAAGAGGAGAAGAAGAAAGAAAGGAAUAGAGGAGAAAGAAGAAACUUCAACACCAGCUAGGCGUGGUACCGAUACCCCCUCCCCGAUAACAUUAUUUUCCCAUGUAUAUGUAUGUCGCGCCGUUGUCGAUAUAACCCCCUCUAGAUAACUUCGACAUGAGGGGCGGUCGAUAUAUAUAUAUAUACCCCCUCUCCACCGUGAUAACUUAUACAACUGCAGCACCCCCCUUGGCCCUCUCGCUCGACCAAAACUCUCGAGGACACCCAAACCCUAGAGAGAAAACGAUGUUGGUCUCCUACCCCCUCCCGCCGCGCCCCUACCCGACAAAUUAACUCUCUCGAGGCCACCCAAAUUUAUCAAGUUAAAAGAGCGUUAUCGUCGAGGCCACCCCAAACCCUUGAAGCGUUGUGUCGAGGCCACUAACAUGAUUCCUUAUUGUGAUUAGCUAGCUAGUUCUANNNNNNNNNNUCUUCUUCUCCUCUUUUUUUUUCUUCUUCUUCUUCCUUCUUCCUUUUUCUCUUUUCUUCCUUUUCCUUAAUUAUUUUCCUUUCUCGAGGGAGAAGAAGAAAAAGAAGAGGAGAAGAAGAUAUAACCCCCUCUAGAUAACUUCGACAUAAGGGGCGGUCGAUAUAUAUAUAUACCCCCUCUCGACCGUGAUAACUUAUACAACUGCAGCACCCCCCUUGGCCCUCUCGCUCGACCAAAACUCUCGAGGACACCCAAACCCUAGAGAGAAAACGAUGUUGGUCUCCUACCCCCUCCCGCCGCGCCCCUACCCGACAAAUUAACUCUCUCGAGGCCACCCAAAUUUCUCAAGUUAAAAGAGCGUUAUCAUCGAGGCCACCCCAAACCCUUGAAGCGUUGUGUCGAGGCCACUAACAUGAUUCCUUAUUGUGAUUAGCUAGCUAGUUCUACGUUUGCCACUAAUAUAUAUAUCCAUCUGUACCAUGUUUGAAUAAUAAUUGACAUGUUGUAAAUAUUUGCAGAAACUAUGGAGCACUCCCGAGACGAAGAAAUAGAAGCGAUGUUGGGGGACAUAAUCGCAAAUGGAUCAAGUGAUGAUGUUGCGUCAUUUCUCCUCGACACCGUUGAUCAGCUAGAUGAAGAAGAGGGCUAUGUUUAUGAUGGUGGCUUCGACCCAUUAAUGCCGGUACAAGAGGAGGACUAUGUUCAUGAUGGCUCCGGUGACACAAUGGAGGUACAAGACGAAGGAGACCGUGCUGAGUGCUCCGGUCCCCGAACCGAGUCCGGCCAGGUAUAUAUAUAUAUUAGUUAAGCCCGUGCUGACUAGUUAAUUGAUGCAUCCAUUGUUUUGGUAUAUGUACACAUAUUAAUUACUGUCGUCUUUCUUCCUUAUAAUUUCUAGCCCUUCGGAUCGAGCACAACUUCGAUAAGGAGACGAGGCCUGAAGAAAAAGUUGAGUUCGGAUGAAAAGUUUGAGAUCAUAGAAAUCGCGCCCGACGGCGAACCGAUUGAACCCAUCCGGACAAGGAAGGCAUUUUCUGCUUAGUGCGGGGUUCUUUCAUAGGCACAGGAUCCCGAUCAGCAUCCAGCAAUGGUAUAAGCCUGCUAAGGAUGAAGACGCUGAGGUGUCUUAUGUCAAUGAUAUGCAGAAAGAAGAUCUUUGGACUGAGCUGAAGGCAAAUUUCACCCUACCGCCAGAGGAGGAUCCGGAGAAGCCAGUUAAAGAGCAAUUAAUCAAGUCUUGUGCUCUUAAGAAGAUGGCAGGCCUAAUGAGGAGGUGGAGGAAAGAGCCGAACCAAUUUGUCAAGGAAAAAAAGACACCAGAAUUCAUCGGCAAAUAUGAGAAGAUCAAAGAUCACUGGCCCGCAUUUGUGGCCCACAAGACAUCGGAAAAGAGUAAGAAGAUGUCGUAGACAAACAAGAAAAAUGCUGCGAAGAAGAAGCUUCACCAUCGCACGGAGUCAGGUGGCUACCUCAAAGCCCGGCCUAAGUGGUCCAAGGCUGAGCAUGAUCUACUUGAAAAAGGGAUCGAACCAGAGACAAUGCGCUGGCCAGACCGUUGCCGGACUUGGUUCUUCGGGGCUGGCGGAACCUUGGACCCUGUAACAGGGAAGUGUCAGUGGACGGACAAGCAACUGCAAAUACCAAUCAAGAACCAUCGACACUAUAUCGAUGCAGCGCAGCGAGGGACGUUCCUUCCAAACAGGGAGAAGGACGAGCUCACAAUGGCCCUUGGGAAUCCCGAGCACCCUGGACGGACACGAGGCACGCCAGGCUCCAUUCCGUGGAAGGUUGGUUUUCCGGACGCAGGGGGUUACAAAACCCACGAGAGGAGGAAGAAACUGGAGCAGAACCAAAUGCAGGCGCUGCUUGGAAGGGUAAUGGGGCUAGAGGAUCGAGAAGAGGAACGAGAAGCAGCAGAUCGCAACAAACGACAUGCCGAAGCUUCCCCCGAAGCUACCCCGCCAUCUCAGCGGAGAAGCAGCGUGUCUUCCACCGAGCUGCUUCAGCCGGAGCAUGUCUUGAGGGCUCAUGCCAGCUAUCCCGUGGAUGGUAUCACGGAGUCUCAAAAUUGCCACAUGAUGGCGCGAUGGAUGAAUUUGAAGGUCAAGGCGGCUGUUGGCCAAGUUUAUCCUAGUGGACCCGGCACAACUUAUCACUGCCAGCCGAUUCCAAAAGGAUAUGCUAAGGUGAUGGUGGAUGAAAUAACGGAGGGAUUUGAGGACCUCGUGCUUGACCACCCUACCGGUGAAGGGGAGACUAGGCUGGGUUCUGCUAUGAAGACUCCAUGCCUAUGGAAGAAGGAGCUCAUCAACCUUCUGAAUUGGACGCCUCCGCCUCCUCCUCCUGCUCCGGCGAGUCAGGGCACUCCGCCUCCUCCACCGCCUCCUCCUCCGGCGAGUGACGAUCAGGGCACGCGUGGUGGCACUCCGCCUCCUUCUCCGGCGCAUGGCGGCACUCCGCCUCCUUCUCCGCCUGCGCCGGCGCUCCUGAGCAGCCAGCAGCAUCCUCCUUCUCCGCCUCGCCAGCAAGGGCGGAAGAGACCCGCCGCCGCCCCGGCUGCUCCGGCACGUCGUACUCCUUCUCCUCCGCCUCGUAAGCAAGCACGAAAGAAGACAGACGCCGCAGCCGCUCCGUCUGCUCUGGCGUCUAGCAGCACAACCAGAGGCGGGAGGCAAUACAAAUAUGGUCCAUCAUCUCUCAAGCCUCUAGAGAUGUUACCGUACGAGAGGUCCGAGGAGGAAAACGAUACAAUUGUGCAGGCCCACGUGAAGGAGUUCUUUGAAGGGGUGAAAGCAAAGAGACAUCCACCUCCGGAGGAGAAGGUAGAUCCGGUGAAAGCAAAGCGCACUAUCGAUGCCCUGAGGAAACCACCAAAGUCUCCGCCGAGAACCAACUAUGAGCGCAUUACUGAACAGACAUAUCUCCAAGCCCAGCGGUCGGGAACUACUGUCAGUGCUAAAAGGUCAAAACAACGAGCAAAGGGGAAAAAUUUGCCCAGCUCGGCGAACAAGCACAACAAUCGUGCCCCCCGCUCAAUGUGUCUAAUGCUCCGGGGACGGUGGCCGGUUAUGGCAAUCUUGACGAUUACCUACCUGACGAUGCACUUCCUGAUUUCUUGAAGGUGGACGGACACAGAUACGAGUAUGGGAAGCCUCUCAUCAAAGAUGAAAAAUCUCUGACAACAAUGAUGCGAAGAUUCCAUAAUUGGUACAUGGAAACCUGCAGAGAGUCUGAUGGUAAGAAUGCUUUGUAUCUGCAUAUUAAAGAGGAGCAUGAUCUCGUUGCAAAUGAUCUGUUGACUGUUCCAUUUGAGGAGUUCUUCGAGUUCUUCAAUCAAAAGGCCCUCGAUAAAUUAAUGGUCUUUUGCUACUGCCUGUAAGUACUAUUUCUGUCAUUAAGUCUCUAUAUAUAGCUCGGCUCUUUCAUUGCAUGCAUGUAUUUAUAAUUAAUUAUCCUUAAUAUAUUAUGCAGAUUGAAGAUCGUCGAGUGCAAAAAACAAGAAAUUUAUGAUAUUGGGUUCAUUAACACAAAUAUCAUAGAUGUAUUUCUGGUUAAAAAGAACGUCAAAGAGGCCGAGGACAACUUGCUAUGAUCGUUGAUAAAAAAAUCAAAACAAAGAUACCAUACUCUUUCCUUACAACGGCCCGUGAGUGUUACUGUCGUGUGCAUAUUCGGUUUCCCUUAUUACUCAAGUGAGGUUAUAGUAAUGUAAUUGAUGAGUUAUGCAUGCGUGCGCAGGUACCACUAUAUUCUUCUGGAGAUUAAGCUUGAGCGUGGACUAGUAACCGUCUUAGACUCGAGACGGAAAGAUCCCAAAACCUAUGCAGACAUGACUGAAAUGCUCAGCAAGUAAGUUCAAUCGAUCAUAAUUAUCGCAACAUAUCGGUAACUUUUUGUUCAUUUCCUGAUAUCUCAAGUAAUAAUAAUUAUUUUCUUUGUCUUGCAGGGUUUGGAAACAGUUCACCGCAGAAGCUCCGGGACUGCCGAAGGAGCUGCGAUAUACAUACCCGAAAGUAAGUACUACUGGCUAGCUAGUUGCGCGCAUCUCCGGCCCGUUGAUUCUAUAUAUAGCUAUACUUUCAUCAAUGCCAUUUAUAAUGCUUCAUUAUCAGUUUGAUUGACCUCUAUUUCUCGUAAAGUGCUUGUGGCAGGAGGAAGGGAAUGAUUUUUGUGGAUACUACGUGUGCGAGUUCAUCCACACCGCGACUUUGAAAAACAAGCGGGGCUACUCUCAAAGACAAUAUGAAGUGCGUAAGCAAUAAUAUUCAUAAUUUCAUUUUAUUACACCAUCAUUUCUGUUGAGUUUCAUUCAUAUAUAUGUAUUAAUUAACCCCCUUCUUCAAAUUAGACGUGGCAGAUGCGGAAUGAACUCCUAGAACCAGAUCGCAUGAAAGCAAUUCAAGAGGAAUUGGCGGGAUUCUUUCUUGACCACGUCAUCAGUAAAACCGGAGAAUACCAUGUGAAAAUUGAUUUCAAAUGCUAGCUAGGGGUUUGUAAUUAUAAGAGAUCUUAUACAUAUUGUACAUGUAUGUAGCCAGUAGCGUCGGAUACAUGAUACGAAAACUUGUUGUUCGACCAACCUCUCGGAGAAGGAGAGGUCGAUCGAUCACUUCUCUCGGUAUGCAUGACGAACUUCUGUACUGAAUGGUUCUCUCGAUCACUUAUGUAUAUAUAGUACGUAGCGUCCAAGCACGGACAUAAGAGAGGACACUUCUCUCUAUUAAUUAGCUAGCUAACACAAUAUAUGAAACACCUAAUUAAAUUAACCCCCCAAAACCCCCAACCUCCCCUCCUUUCAAAAAAAACACAAAAACCCCAGCAACUGAAAUGCUGACGCGUGGAUGCAUUUUGGUCCCGGUUGGUGCCACCAACCGGGACCAAAGGCCCCUUGACUAGGGUGGGCGCACAGAGCCACGUGGAGGCACAUUGGUCUCGGUUCUGGAUUGAACCGGGACUAAUGGGUGGAGGUAUUAGUAACGACCCAUUAGUCCCGGUUCAUGAACCGGGACUAAAGGCCCUUACGAACCGGGACUAAUGGGUGGUUUUCUACUAGUGGGACGACAAAGUGUUGCCAAAUCACUACUUCUGGAUGUGUGGAUACCGCGGAGGGGUCAUGUACUUUGACUCUUGCAUCGGUGAAAUAAUUCUCGUGGCUGGGAGGUAUAACCUAGCUGCGGGAAUUGUCAAAUCUUCACUAACAUCUUCCUCUCCAUUACACUCUUGUGGGUGAGAUUAGAUCUAUCAUGUCAUCUUCAUUGUGUUCUUGGGUGUGAUCUUGGGUGUGAUCGCAUGUUAUUUAUUUUGUUGCAUAGUACAUCCCAUUCAAUAUUAGUUUCAUGUUUCUUCCUUACGUUUUGGUUCCAUGAUGACAGCGAUGAGGUGGCGGUGACAAUGGCAUGUUGGAAUAAUCUUUCUUCGGCAUCUCCUUACCUCGAGGAUGUCCGAUUGGACACCUACGAAGGGCCAAUGAGGGUAGGUGAUGUGAGAUAUGUUGGCUUCCUUCAGAUCUUGACAGUUGGUAUGUCAACCAAAGGAGAUUGUUGGCUAACUUUUUGUGCGGCGACUUUGACCUCUCUAUAAGUGCAAUCUACGGCAAGGUCUAAUUUGUUCAACCCUCUGUAUUUGUGGUGAUGGAUCGCAUGCCUUCACUGCCUGGGGUGAUUCAUCAACAAUGCUCUUUAGCGAUUACUAGUUCUCGUUGCAAGUAGUGGGUGGCUAUUGUUAUCUUUAGAGCCUUGUAUGAUGAGGUUGUUUAUAGUACAUGUAUUCCGCCCUUACUGCUUGUUCAGGCAAGUUCCAGCAGACAGCGAACGGUCAAAGGAAAAAGACGGUCAAAAAGGCUUUCAAUGUGAUCUUAGUUUUAGAGGUCAUUUUAUUUCAAGUUGUCCCCCUUUUGUACUAACUACUGUAUUCAUUGAUAAAUAUCAUAUGUAAGAUGCCCUUUCGGUGUCUUCUCUAAGAAAAGGUAUAAAUAAACAUACUCUCCAGAAACUUCUAUUGAGAUAUCUGGCAAAUGCUUCACUCUAGAGCAAAUUCUUUGUCACGAUGUUUAAUGACACUACAAUGCGCAGGAACUUCAACAUAUAUUUACCUUUACUAUUUAUUAAAUUAAAUUGUAGAUGGUUGGUCUCAUGGUUCAUCCACACCUCUCACGUAUAUUUUCCAUCUAAGAAACUCUAAACAUGAGAAACUAACUUGAAGUCAACAUAACUAAUCCGCAACAAACAAAUUUAACCGCACCAUCAAAUAUAUAAAAAUGUAGACUAAUCAAUAGAGGCAUAUAAUUACAUAUUUAUUUUUAGUUUUCCCCGUGUCUACAAAGACUCAGUAUACAAUAUUUUCCUAAAUGCGAGUGUAUCAGAAUGGUAACAAUUUAUGUAACUUAUAUUGUAGAAUGUAAUUUUUGAAUGAGACUAAUCUAGCUGAAAUAAUAACACUUAUGUGGCGAAAUUUAUUAGAUGUAAUAGAAAACUAUAUCCAUAAAUAAGAGAAGGAUGGAUGUACAAGCCUCCUCAGAGCUCAGUGACUUUCAACCGUUGGAUCGGUUUGCUUGAUGCGUUUCUGGACGUCGGAUCAGCAUCUGGAUCAACCUGGGCCGUCAGAUCUCGAGCUGGCACUGCUGGAAUGAAUAGUAAUGGCAGCAAAAUGUAAAUAACAUGCCCCCACCGGGGUAUUCUGGUCAUUUCACAUAGAGGCCUAUAAAAGCUAGCAGCUCCCGUGGCAAGCCCUAGCCGCCUCCUCUCCACACUCGCCACCCCGCCCGCGCGUCCCAGCCCCCUCCCCUAACGCCGCCGCCCACCUCCACCCAAACCCUAACGACGCCGCCGUCUCCUUCGCCCUGCCCGCUGGACCCCCACCGCCCACUUCUCUGGCGUCGUCGCCGUCGUCCACCACCACGCAUCCCCUCCUUCCCUCCCCGCGCGGCCCCGCCGUCCCGCCCCGCCCGCCGCGGCAGCCAUGGAUGAGCUUCGGUCCGGUCCUCCUCUCCUCCCCGUUGUUUUCCCCUGCUGAGAUCACCGCCGGUGCUGCUCCCCCCGUAGAGCGCGCUCCUCGCCGUCACUCUUGCAGGCGCCACCGCGCUCCCGUUCUCCUCUCCUGCUCUGUUCCUCCCUGUCAAUGACCUCACAGCUGCCACUAACGCGGUACUCCGUCCUUCCCGAGCCCGGCGACGAUGGAGGCGCGCGGCCACCACGCUCCCAUUCUCCUCUCCUACUCCGUUCCUCCCCGCCAGCCACCUCACCGCUACCACUGACGCGGUACUCUGUCCUUCUCGAGCCCAGCGACGAUGGAGGCGCGCGGCCAUCCCUUCCCAUGCGGUGGUGGAGGAAGGAGGGGGCCUGCACGGUUGUCGGCGACCUCCUCCCCGACCAUCGACCGGAGGGAACUGAAGGUCGAUGUUCGAUCUCUGCCGGCCUUCAUGUAUUUGUUCAGGGAACUGCAGGUUGACCCCUUCUCUCCUUCCUUUCUCUAUUCCUGUUUCUUUGCAGUCCUAGGCUUGUAUUUGUGCGCCGGUGUAUCUUUGUUGUUUUCUUUGUCUGGGGAUGUUGUUGGGUUCAGUUGGUGUGCAGGUUAGGCACCGCUAGAUUCAAUUGGUAUGCAGGUUAGCCAAUGAUUGUAUCUCUUUGUUGUCUUCUUUCUGGUAGAGGCAAAAUGUAUUAUCCCUGGCUGGAUUUUUGUGGCCUCCUUUCCUUGUUUGUUCUUUUGUGGGUUACAGGUGUGUCCUUUUGUUUCUUGUGUAGAUCCUACUAGGGGUGAGUUUUUUUGUUUGUUUGCACAUGGAUGUUUGCUGCCCUUGUUCUUUGCUCUGAAUUGACAUGGCCGACUGAAUUAUUAGUGGCUACGAUUAUAGAUGUGCUGCUAGGAAGUUUUGAUUAAUAAAUUGUGUGGGCUUUAGUUUAAUCUGGUCCAAGAUAUUGCUUUAGUGAUACUGCUGUUUGUGUUGAACAGGGUAUGGUAACUUAAUUUAGCCAUAUACUGAUUUAGGCUUGUGUUACUUUUCCUUGAUUUAGCUCUGCUCAUUUUUUGUAGUUGUAUGUUUGUUUUUCUUAUCUUUUCUUUUGUUUUCUUUUGACUUCUACAUCCAUGGAAUUAAUUUUGUAUGCUCAAAUGGGUGUAUAUAUUAUGGCAUAGAGUUACGGUGCAGCUGAUAUAUUAUUCUUAGCCUUUUCAUUUGUUACAUGUGGUUUGUUAUGUAAUCUAUUCACCGUGUGUUCCUAUUUAUCAGCUAAUACCAGAACACUUUAUCUUGCUUAAUCUGCAGGGUGAUGAUUGCAACAGGUAAAUGGCUUCUUAUGGUUCUCAGCAGCAAGAUGACCUGCCACAACCUGGAGGUGGAUAAAUUGGUUAAAAACAUACACCCCUUUGGUUAGUUCCUCCGUUAUCCGGAGGAGGGAGGCAUGCUGAACAAGCAUGGUGGAUAGAUAGGUGUAAGUAAUCUUUAACGCGGUCCUAAUUUUGCUGGUUAUUUCAUUGUAAGGGUGUUAAAUUUUCUUGGAAUUACUUGGUGAUUUUCCUGUACUCACCUCUGUAGCUAUUCUCGCUGUCAUUUUUUUUGCCUUCGUAUCCAUGGUAACUUGUCCGAUGUUGGGGUUUCGAUCGGUUGCAAUUUUCUUCUUUGUCAAAGAUGAGUUAUUGUUGGAUAAUGUGCAUGUCAUGGUGGACAUCAGUUAUAAACUGCAAACGAGAGCUACUAAUCUUAUUAUAGGUGUGGUACAGGUUAUAGCUCUUUAGUGCUUGCUGCACCUAUAUAUUUUUAGAGCAGAGGAGAUGCUACACCAUAUAGUUUGGUCGUGAGGUUUAUUUUUUACCACUGGCUAUGUAGGUUUUGUGCUAGAAUGCAUUCCGUACACAACUAUUAGCUAUGCUUAAUUGUGUUUAGAAACUUCCUUGCAGCUCGUGCAUUGCAUAAUUUUAUAAUUAGCAAGAAUUUUACCUCCCUGGACUGAAUAAUUAGCUUCAAUUGUCUUGGAUAUGUUUCUGUCAUAUGAUAGUUAGGAGGUGCUUUGCCGCUUCCGUUGUGCCCCAUUUGAUUGGUAUUUUUGGAUGAAUAAAUGGAUAUUCUGAGGGAUGAAGGCUAAAACAUAUUCAGUUGUAUUAGAGUUGUAGUGUAUGAAUCUGGUGAGAGAUAAGGGCUGAAAUACAUUCGGUCGUCUUGGAGUUUCAGGUUUUUUGUGCAUUUGGUUCUGGUUGUUUUGAUCUGACUAAGUGACACCUAGGUUUCAUUGAUUUCUUGGGAUUAUUCAUUAUCUUGAUCCAUGCCUGGUACUGAAUCUGAAUGUUUUCAUCUCCGGUACCAUGGCACUGCAUUGGCGGCGGCAGUAGCUUAGGGAGGAAGAUGACACUGGCAACCUGCAGUGUAAGAGGCUGCUGAUGCCGCCGUUGGUGAAGAAGAUGCUAUGUUGCGUCAUUUUUGUGGGAAUAUUGUGGUGAAUUACAUAUUUAGAUUAUUGUAUGGUCACAGAAACCUAGAGAAGGAAACUGGCUUGGUGCUCUAGAGCCAGGUGUGUGCCUAGACAGCUGAAAAGCUAAUAGAACCACUAUAAAUCGAGGGACAACAAUCUUCAUUGCCUAAUUCCCUUUGUAUUUAAAUCAUAAUUAUAUCUAUCAUCUCCUAACCAUCGGCUCAUGGGGACAGGACAUGAUCCAGGAGAUGUUCGUCAUGUCGAGCCUCCUAACCAUCGGCUCCAGCCAUCGGCAGCUAGAGUUCCUCGAUGGUUCAUGUGGCCUUAACCGCCGCUGGGCUCCCUGCGCCCACGCCUCAAUUCUUCUACCUCUUCUCAGGUAUAUUUUGUGUCUCCUUUUCCUUAUUUAUUUCUCUUCCAUGGUACUAUCGACGUCUGCUGAUAUGUGUGUCCAUAUUUUCACUGAUGUCAUGUUUGCAGUAUAUGAGGUAGCUUUCCUGUUAAAAAAUGGCAUUGCAUGUCAUGUUUGCUCUAAGGAAAUCUUCCUAUUUUUAUUUUUCUACAAUGUAGGGCACAAUUUAUACAUGUUUCCUUUCUUAACUCGACCUGUUCCUGAAACUUUUAUAUUGAUAUGGUCUUGGUGGUCUCUGGUUUUGGUAAUUAAUUUGAAGGUCCAUUUAUCAAAAAAAAUAAUAAUUUGAAGGUCUACCUUUCUGGUUUUCAUUACUUAUAUGUGUGUAUAGUCAUGUAUAUGUUAAUCUGAUAGCGGAGUUAACUUUACAGAACAUAUAAGUUACCACUGUUUUGUUAGUUCAUUGAUGGUCAAAUAUACUAUUUUUAUAUCAUCCUACAAGUGCCACAAAAAAUAUGCAGUUGAUUGUAGCAUGUUGUCAUUGGAUUAAAAAUAUAUAUGUUCUCACUCGGGGUUCUUGGUGAGCACUAGGCCUUCUAUCCANNNNNNNNNNNNNNNNNNNNNNNNNNNNNNNNNNNNNNNNNNNNNNNNNNNNNNNNNNNNNNNNNNNNNNNNNNNNNNNNNNNNNNNNNNNNNNNNNNNNNNNNNNNNNNNNNNNNNNNNNNNNNNNNNNNNNNNNNNNNNNNNNNNNNNNNNNNNNNNNNNNNNNNNNNNNNNNNNNNNNNNNNNNNNNNNNNNNNNNNNNNNNNNNNNNNNNNNNNNNNNNNNNNNNNNNNNNNNNNNNNNNNNNNNNNNNNNNNNNNNNNNNNNNNNNNNNNNNNNNNNNNNNNNNNNNNNNNNNNNNNNNNNNNNNNNNNNNNNNNNNNNNNNNNNNNNNNNNNNNNNNNNNNNNNNNNNNNNNNNNNGGUCACAUGAACACUUAUUCUCUUUGUGCUUACUGUCUUACAGAUCUUGAGGUUUGACCCUGAAUGCUUGGGUCUAGGUAGCUGAAGAUUCUUAGGUCCGUGGUGACAGUGAUUGUUAGGUCCGUGGUGACAGUGAGCAUCAUUGGUCAACAAGGUUUCAGUGGGUGUGCAAGACGUGCUACAGGUGUGCUCCAAUCCUCCCCGUCGUCUCUCUUAGAUACUUCACAUGUUUCACAAGCAGUUUAAGAACUGAUAACUGCAUUAGUUGCUUAAUUCAUACAGUGUGCAGAACUUCCUGGGCAGAUAAUCGUGUAGUUAAUGUUUUAUGCCAUAUAUAUCUAGAUAGGUGAAUUAUCAGAGGUUGGUCCAGAUAUCCAAGGUUAAAUCUAUGCCUACAUCUUCCAAAGUUCUUUGGAAAGGAUCAAUCCUUCAGUUUUUUGGUGUUGUUCUUGGAUUUGUACAGAUGUUAAUGUUUCCAUUUUGCUCCAUUUACUACUACACAAACCUUGAGCAUUUUUUAAAUUUUAGACAACUAAUGGUUAGUACAUAUCCUUCCAUUCCAUGAAUUAGUUUCAUUUUGUCUCGGUUAAGCUCUCUGUGUGUGCAAGCUUUACAAAACCAAGACUUAAUCCUAGCUAACCUGAAGAUGCUAGCUAAUCAAGAACAGUCUAAAAACGUUGUGUGGCAAUAUCGGCCACUAACUAACCUGAAAGGAAUUCAACUUUUAUGUUUUGGCCAAUUGGUCUGCACGGCUAUGUCCAUUGGUGCCAUUAUAUCUAAAUUAAUUAAUUAUCUUGCUGGUGUUAUGGGCUAAAUGUACACUAUCAUGUAGUUCCUGAUCUAGAAAGCCUAUGGUCGUCAAGUGUUUUUUCUUCUGCUGCAGGCCAGGGCUGUGGCGCGAUCAGCAUGUUGAGUAUUAAUUUGACGAAAGAGCCGGGGCAUCUUGCACCCAGCUUCCAUGUGCUCGAUGCCAAGUAUUGCUUCUCCAGUGUUAAAUUAACUCAAGUGCUGUCCCUGGUAUCUAUUUUGCUGACAGUUUUCUUCUGGUUAUUCCAGUCAACUUUGGUUAUGCUAUUGGAUGGUUCAUGGGCUCGCGUUGCUGGAUGAAACUCUUGACGAAGACCUCGAGAACGAUAUUGUAGACUUAUUGUCUUGAUGUCGGGUUUGUUGAUCUGUUACGAUAUAAUUGUAUGGAUAUGUUGCUGCAGUUUGUAGUUAAAUUUUGAUAACACUUAUGCUUAAGGAUAUAUAUGUUGAAAACUUUACAAGCAAACUGUUUAAGGCUUUAGCUUAAACUUCCGCUCUUCUUAAAUCUGAUUAUAGAAACUAAGAAAUAAGUUGCUGAGAUAAUAUGCUCUGGUUGCACAACACAGUAAAUCUCAAAUCAGAUUUCAGUUGAACAACAUUGCUUCAUACAAGGAUGACAAGAAAAUAACCUUUAUUUAACUUUGCGCCAUGGUUAGGUUGUCCAUUACAAAUUUUUGCAGCAGUAUGAUUUUUUUAAGAAAAUACAAGUAGUAUUUGUCAUACAUAAUUAAAGCACUGAAGAUACACCUUUGCAGAUACAAUAAUUUCUGAAUAUUACCAUUUUUUUCUCUUAUGGUGGCGUAUAAUUGUUUCAGGACAAACAUGGUGGAUAUGGUGGUGGACCUGGGCAGUUUUUCUCUAACCUCAAACUCUUCUUAAUUCCCCACAUUUAGCUUCGGUAAUACUAGCUUUAGGUUGGUUAAUCUUUUUGCAUUAGUUCUUGAAAUGGAAUUUUAGGCAACCAUGGAAUUUGGAACAGGCCAUGUGAAUGUUGGGCUGUAGAGAUAUUGGAUUUGACAUUGCUUUCAAAUGUUUGCUUCACAAUGAGUGCUCUUAGACCAUUCUAGGCUACUUGACAUGUUCACACGAAUAUACAAAAUAACUUCGACCAACCAAUUUAGCAUUAUAAGAACUUCAGAGAUGUGUUUGGUAUUUGAUUACCUAAUGUGUUUGGAAAAGCUAGCUUUUGUAGUGGUUUUGUUUGCCCAUCUUUUGGAAGGUCAGAGAUAGCUUUUUUUGUUAAUUGAUUUACUGAUUC
rnacentral:lncRNA from 1 species